rnacentral:ncRNA from 1 species
UUAUCACCUUGUCCUAGAUAAACCAAUUAUUAAUUAAUGAUUAAGUAUCUAAUGUUAGACCCGAAGCCUAGUGAUCUUACCAUGAUCAGGGUUAUAAAGGCCCGAACGGGUUAUCGUUGUAAAGAUAUCCGAUGAAUUGUGGUAAGUUAGUGAAAGACAAAACUGACUAGGAUAGCUGGUUUUCUGCGAAACCUAUAUAAGUA